GGGCGUGUACCGAAGUGGUCAAACGGGGCGGACUGUAAAUCCGCUGGCUCUGCCUUCGUAGGUUCGAAUCCUACCGCGCCCA
rnacentral:tRNA from 1 species